GAUGAACGCUGGCGGCGUGCCUAAUACAUGCAAGUCGAGCGAACGGACGAGAAGCUUGCUUCUCUGAUGUUAGCGGCGGACGGGUGAGUAACACGUGGAUAACCUACCUAUAAGACUGGGAUAACUUCGGGAAACCGUAGCUAAUACCGGAUAAUAUUUUGAACCGCAUGGUUCAAAAGUGAAAGACGGUCUUGCUGUCACUUAUAGAUGGAUCCGCGCUGCAUUAGCUAGUUGGUAAGGUAACGGCUUACCAAGGCAACGAUGCGUAGCCGACCUGAGAGGGUGAUCGGCCACACUGGAACUGAGACACGGUCCAGACUCCUACGGGAGGCAGCAGUAGGGAAUCUUCCGCAAUGGGCGAAAGCCUGACGGAGCACCGCCGCGUGAGUGAUGAAGGUCUUCGGAUCGUAAAACUCUGUUAUUAGGGAAGAACAUAUGUGUAAGUAACUGUGCACAUCUUGCCGGUACCUAAUCAGAAAGCCCCGGCUAACUACGUG
rnacentral:rRNA from 1 species